AUGAUUGGUUUAUGAAAUGAAUUUGGUUGAUGCUAUUGAUAUGAGACCUUUUGGACGGUGUUCUUAAUUGAUUGAGGUUGAUUCAUGUUGAAUUUCAUGUUCUGUUUUGAAUUUUUUCUCCCUCUUUGACCCUAGGCCUUGCCCUAGUGGUUUGUUGCUUAUGUUUGAGUUUUGUUUUCAGGUUAAGAAGCACAUGGCCAUAAUGGGAUUGAUUCACUUGC
rnacentral:lncRNA from 1 species